rnacentral:rRNA from 1 species
AGAGUUUGAUCCUGGCUCACAACGAACGCUGGCGGCGCGCCUAACACAUGCAAGUCGAACGAGAGGCCGUAGCAAUACGGUCGUACAGUGGCGAACGGGUGAGGAAGACGUGGGUAACCUACCCUCGAGUGGGGAAUAACCCGCCGAAAGGCGGGCUAAUACCGCGUACGCUUCUGUUCCUUCGGGGACGGAAGGAAAGCUGUGCCGUGGGCAUGGCGCUCAAGGAGGGCUCACGCCAGAUUAGCUAGUUGGUAAGGUAAUGGCUUACCAAGGCGACGAUCUAUAGCUGGUUUGAGAGGAUGAUCAGCCACACUGGGACUGAGACACGGCCCAGACUCCUACGGGAGGCAGCAGUGGGGAAUAUUGGACAAUGGGGGAAACCCUGAUCCAGCAAUGCCGCGUGAGUGAAGAAGGCCUUAGGGUUGUAAAACUCUUUCAGUGGGGAAGAUAAUGACGGUACCCACAGAAGAAGCUCCGGCUAACUCCGUGCCACAGCCGCGGUAAUACGGAGGGAGCUAGCGUUGUUCGGAAUUACUGGGCGUAAAGCGUGCGUAGGCGGAUCGACAAGUUGGGGGUGAAAUCCCAGGGCUCAACCCUGGAACUGCCUCCAAAACUGUCGAUCUAGAGACCGGGAGAGGUAAGUGGAAUUCCAGGUGUAGCGGUGAAAUGCGUAGAUAUCUGGAGGAACAUCAGUGGCGAAGGCGACUCCCUGGCCAAGACUGACGCUCAUGUGCGAAAGUGUGGGUAGCGAACAGGAUUAGAUACCCUGGUAGUCCACACCGUAAACGAUGUCUACUAGCUGUUUGUGGAUUUAAUCCGUGAGUAGCGAAGCUAACGCGAUAAGUAGACCGCCUGGGGAGUACGGCCGCAAGGUUAAAACUCAAAUGAAUUGACGGGGGCCCGCACAAGCGGUGGAGCAUGUGGUUUAAUUCGAUGCAACGCGAAGAACCUUACCAUCCCUUGACAUCCAAAGAAUCACCAAGAGAUUGAUGAGUGCCUCGGGAACUUUGAGACAGGUGCUGCAUGGCUGUCGUUAGCUCGUGUCGUGAGAUGUUUGGUUAAGUCCCGUAACGAGCGCAACCCUUGUCCUUAGUUGCCAGCACGUAAUGGUGGGAACUCUAAGGAGACUGCCGGUGACAAACCGGAGGAAGGUGGGGACGACGUCAAGUCAUCAUGGCCCUUACGAGCUGGGCUACACACGUGCUACAAUGGUCGGUACAGAGGGUUGCCAAGCCGCGAGGUGGAGCAAUCACACAAAGUACGUCGUAGUCCGGAUUGGAGUCUGCAACCCGACUCCAUGAAGUCGGAAUCGCUAGUAAUCGUAGAUCAGAAUGCUACGGUGAAUACGUUCCCGGGCCUUGUACACACCGCCCGUCACACCAUGGGAGUGGGAUGCAAAAGAAGUGGCUAGUUUAACCUUUCGGGGAGGACGGUCACCACUUUGUGUUUCAUGACUGGGGUGAAGUCGUAACAAGGUAACC